rnacentral:rRNA from 1 species
ACAUGCCUACAACAUAGAGUUAAUGCAUCGAAUCCCAUUAGAACUCCGCAAUUAAGCGUGCUCAGGCUAGACUAGUAUUGGGAUGGGCGACCACUCUGGAAGUCCUAGUGUUUUACAUGCC